UACAGAGGUCUCAAGCGUUGUUCGGAUUCAUUGGGCGUAAAGGGUGCGUAGGUGGCGCCGUAAGUCAGGUGUGAAAUCUCGGGGCUCAACCCCGAAACUGCACUUGAUACUGCGGUGCUCGAGUACUGGAGAGGAGAUUGGAAUUUACGGUGUAGCAGUGAAAUGCGUAGAUAUCGUAAGGAAGACCAGUGGCGAAGGCGAAUCUCGUG
rnacentral:rRNA from 1 species